GGAUGUGGUGGGGAUUUGGAUGUAGAUUGUCACCUUCAUAAUAAACAAGGUUGAUUUUACUGAUGUAGCUCACUAGGCACAAUCUUCCUCUCUUACAGACCCAUGAUCUCCUGAAUCUGGAAGCUCAAUCAAGAAAGACGACCUUCCCAAACAGAGGAGAACCAGUCUUUGCUCAAGGGUAUAUAAUUAGCUACAUUCCCUUCUGAGAACCUCUAAACAAAAUCUCAGGAGAUUCAUGAAAUGUUUUCAAAAACUACACCCCAUGUUUAUCCCACAGAAAGUCCAGUAGUGGUUGA
ensembl:misc_RNA predicted gene, 24005